rnacentral:rRNA from 1 species
AGUGAACGCUGGCGGUAGGCCUAACACAUGCAAGUCGAACGGCAGCACAGUAAGAGCUUGCUCUUACGGGUGGCGAGUGGCGGACGGGUGAGGAAUACAUCGGAAUCUACUUUUUCGUGGGGGAUAACGUAGGGAAACUUACGCUAAUACCGCAUACGACCUACGUGUGAAAGCAGGGGAUCUUCGGCCCUUGCGCGAUUGAAUGAGCCGAUGUCGGAUUAGCUAGUUGGCGGGGUAAAGGCCCACCAAGGCGACGAUCCGUAGCUGGUCUGAGAGGAUGAUCAGACACAAUGGAACUGAGACACGGGCCAGACUCCUACGGGAGGCAGCAGUGGGGAAUAUUGGACAAUGGGCGCAAGCCUGAUCCAGCCAUACCGCGUGGGUGAAGAAGGCCUUCGGGUUGUAAAGCCCUUUUGUUGGGAAAGAAAAGCAGCAGGUUAAUACCCCGCUGUUCUGACGGUACCCAAAGAAUAAGCACCGGCUAACUUCGUG